AUCAUACUUAUGAUUUGAUAACAGGAAAAAUAACUAUGUCAGAAGAGUAUGUGCCUAUAUACUUAUGUGUGGCCCAUUUCAUGAAAAUGAUGUCACAAGAUGUGAAAAAACAUGUUUCUGACUCAGGCCACAUUAACUAUAUUUUGGAUAUGUUGGGAGGUUUGAUGCAAGUCCGAAACUUAGAAGAAAUUGAUUUAUAUGUAAGAUGGUUGUACAUAUUUUUUAAUUCUAAAUAUGAAUCUUCUUGUGUCAAGGAAGCCGAAACAUCAUUGUGUAAUUUUAAAGAUACCAUUGAUGUAGUUUCAGAAAAUACAAAUGAUAACAUAGAAUUUGAAGAUAAAAAUGACCCUCUUUUCAGAAAUAACAAUUUUUUCUUUAGAUAUAACGAUCUUAUUAGUAAAAUUGACAUAGACUCUGAAGUGCCCAAUACUGAGUUGAAUGUUUAUUACAAUCCAACUCUUUUCGACAUAAUUCUCAAGAAGUAUCUGACAGUAACACCACUGUGGUCAAACAUUUUAAAAAAAGAAAGAGUUUCAAAUGCAUCUGUCGAAAAUUUCUUUGGUACAAUGAAAGCAUUAGUUUUAAAUAAAAGGUCAUAUCUGAAAUGCACGCAAUUUAUAAGAUUAGAAAGAGAAUAUAUUUUAGCUAAAUUCAAAGAAUUUACACAUAAUAUACCAAAAAAGAGACUUACAAAAGCUAAGGAAGAUGAAGAAACCUGGGAGAGGAAAAGGCUAAGAAAAUCGAUUACUCAUUUUGAUGGGAAACAUUUAAGACCAAAAAAAAACAAAUUUGCUCUUAAAACACGACAAAGCAUUGAAUAUUGCAAACAUAGAUCAUGAACCAGGAUUGUGUAAAAUAAAAAGAGAAAAAGGUACAGAUAUGAACAUAGAUCAUGAACCAGUUCAUCCAGUAUUGUCUGAGAUAAAAAUAGAAAAGGAUACAGAUUUUAAACCACCUCAACAAAAAAAUAUUGAUUACUUACAACAUAGAAAAAAAAAAAGUGAAUGAAGUAAAAAUUACUGAUACAGAUAUUAAAUCACCUCAACAAAAUGUAAUUAAUAACUUACAACUUCACAACAAUGGCUUAGUGAGGGAUCCAUCAUAUUACAUAACUGGUUUAGAGAGAAAAUACUAUGUAUCUGUUUUUGAUAAAUCGCCUGAUUUAGUCAAAGAAUUAGAUAAGGAAGACUUUGAGACGCUUAGUGGAACAAAAUGGUUAUCGAAUAUUGCUGUUGAUCACUGUCUAGCUGUAUUAAACCAAAAUAAUACAGACAAAUAUCAUAUUCUUUCUGUCAACUUCAGUUCGAACUUAUUCUCAAAUAAAAUAGAUUUGACUGACGAACAUAUACAGGAACUGAACACAAGAAAUAUGGAACAAUCUCUAAUCUUUCCAAUAUUGUUACAAAAUCAUUUUACACUUGUUCAUCUUUCAAAUGGUGGAAAGAAAAUGACUUGUAUUGAUCCUAAGGGUAAUGAAGUUAAAUAUGUCAAUAAGUACUGUAACGUGAUAAAAAAAUAUUUUAAACAUGCCAUAAAUUUGAAGGUGUUGAAACCCAAACAUAUCAUACAAUCUGAUGAUCACAAUUGUGGUGUUUACGUGAUAAUGUUUAUUGAAAAAAUAAUAACCAAAGGUAAUUUAAAUGAUAAAUUUUUCACUCCCCAAGGUUAUAGGUCUUACCUACAGCAUUGUAUACUUGGUCACAGUGACUGCAUUAAAGAUAUAUGUUAUAUUUGUGGACGUUCUGUAUUAAGCCUCAAUAAUAAUAAAACAACAUGGAAGUGCACUUUAUGUCAAAGAACAUUACACAAUGAUUGUAUCUCACCAGAUAGAUUUUGUAUGUUGUGUGCUCAUUAUAAACAAAACCACCUUAUUCAUGAUUAAUGCUUCACGAUUAUUACAAUGUAAUAUCAAUAUUAUACAAUAAUCAAAUAUUAUUUUAAUGCAAUAAAAUGAACAUACCUACAUGUAACAGGAUAAAUUAAUGCAUGAAUUAACUUACAAUAAGUAGUGCCCUGUUUAUACCAAUUAUUAUAAUCAUUGAGUAACAUACUGAUUACUGAAGGCACCGAUUUCACCACAUAAUUAAUGCAUGACGAUUAUUAUAAUGUAUACAAUCAAUUAUAAUUAUACUCUAAUAUAUUUUUAAUGCAAUAAAAUGAACAUACCUAUAUCCCAUUCCACGGGGUAAUACAUUUGACAGAACCCUUAUUACAUCCCAAUAAGGGUAGUUUUUGAUUAUAUCAGAUGUCUUUACUCCUGGAAUUGGAUAUACACGUAACAGGAUAAAUUAAUGCAUGACAUCAUUAUCAUCAAAGAGAUACCAACUGUUUACUGAAGGCACAAUUUUAAAUUUUUCACUACAUAAAGUGGUGUAAUAAUAAUAUGUAUGUUCAUCCAAAUUAUGAUUAAUGCCUUCAUAAUAGCUACUAAUGCAUGACUUAGUUAGAUGUAGUUAGAUGAAGGGGAAACAAAGAGUUUUUCUUUUUAAUCAAAAAUAUUAUUGAGAUUAAGAAAAACUCUUUCAUGAUGUAUUAUAAAAUAUAUGAAAAUUAUGUGUCUUUAAAUGUAACAAAACAAAUAUUUUCAUCACAUGAUUUACCUUAAUUUAUAAUACUGAAAUUCCUAGCCACACCUCCCAGUGGUCCCCUUCGGUAACUAAGGUGCAUUAAGGGAAACAUGCAGAUAAUAACUCUUCAUCAUUAGUGCACCUUAGGCGAACGUGGCAGGAAUGUAAACCUAAAUAAAUGUAGUCUUUUCUAUAGUUAUUAACGUUUAUCUAUGUAUACAAUGUUUCAGAGUGAAGACUCUCACAUCAUCACUAUCACCAGCUCCGCCAUCAUAUUAUGUGGAGAACGAACAAUCAUGAUGAAGCUGACGCCACAACAUUCCAGAACCACCAUAUACCGUAGUACAUAUACCGCGGCAACGGGAGCAUGAAGAAGGACCUGCAGAACAUCAUCUGGCUGUUCCAAGGGACCGAUCCGUAUAAUAUCCUGAUGUACGUGGCUCGAGACCUAUACAAGCUGCCGCCUGUUACACUUGACCACAUCAAUUUGACCCGGCUCGCACCUCAAGCAUUUUUUAUAUGAACUAAUUUUAAUUUGAACGAUAUAGAUGGAUUGUCAGUGAUGGUUGUUCAGUCUUAGGGCCUGUUUCACAAUGUCUGGGUAGUGGCUACCUGUCGGGUAAAAUACAUGUUGUCACUGUCAAAAAAAUAAUAACAGAGUGACAGCAUGUAUUUUACCCGACAGGUAGCCACUACCCAGACAUUGUGAAACAGGCCCUUAACAUCGUAAUUCUACCACUAGGCUCUUAUUUUUAAUUUAUUGAAGUCUGUAAACCUAUGAUAUAAAAUACAUAAUUUUGUCUGUGAUUAAAUUGUUUAUAAAUAAAAAAUAUAUUUUAA